rnacentral:rRNA from 1 species
UACGUAAUGCGAAUUGCAGAAUUCAGUGAAUCAUCAAAUCUUUGAACGCAAAUUGCGCUUUCGGGAUAGGCCUGGAAGCACGUGUCUUUGAGCAUCGAUUCUACAAACCCUCGACGGCGUGCUUUGUUCGCAAAGCAGGCGCAGUUGGAAUAUGAGCCUUCUCGUGCAAACGAGUGGCUUUAAAUGUAGCGAGUUGCCUGUGAACACAGGUUUGAGUGGAUUUCCAUUCAUAGCCUUGCGUACGACAGAGUGCCAUUUCAACUGGGACUAGUCGCUAGUGACGUGGAUAAUUUCACUUCAUGUGAAUCUUCCAAACGUGACUAGAUGGCGAAACCGGGGCGUUCAGUUAGCGCUUGUGCGAUAAGCCGUGUUUGCUACGCGACGGAUCGUUUGCGCAUUGGCCCUCAAAAGUCAGUGUGCGAACAACACCUUUGAAUCAGAUCUCAAAUGAGACGAGAAAACCCGCUGAACUUAA